rnacentral:antisense_RNA from 1 species
UGGAGAGAACGAGAGCUACGAAGAGACUACAAUGCCUCUGACUUUUUCAUAGGACAGUUGGCCGAGGAAGACAAACAUAAAGAUGAAGUGCUUAAUUCAAGGUCACACAAUGUCGGGGAUGGACCUCCAGAUUUCCUUACUGACCUGCAUUAUCUUGUGGAUACCUGAGUGAAUUCCACACCACCCAUUUUAUAGAUGAAACCACUGAGACAUGGAGCAACUGACUGAGUAGUCACUGCCCCACCCCUGCCUGGAGCCUCACACAUGACUCGUCUCCUCUCAGUGACCACAGACCAAGUGUGUUGGGGACUUGAGAUGCGUACAUGAGUGUUUGUGAUGUUUCCUGCCGAAAGCACAGGUGAGACGUGGUCUUGUAACACAGUGGUUAAGAAUGUGACUUUGGAGCCAGCCUGCUAGGGGCUGAAUUCUGACUCAGCCAUUUACUAACUGUGUGACCUUAGGUGGAGUCUCACUCUGUAGCCCAAGCUGGAGUGGUGUGAUCUCGACUCACUGCAACCUCCGCCUCCUGGGCUCAAGUGAUUCUCGUGCCUCAGCCUCCUGAGUAGCUGGGACUACAGAUGUCUGUCCCAGGCUCCAGUUUUGUGGUUCCACCUGAGACCUUUCCACCUAUAUGCUUUACAGGUCACAGAAUUUUCCACACUCCUUGACGGAGGUGCUUAACCCUUAUCCAUCAGCAUUCUCAGACAGCACCUCCGGUUAGGGACAGUAUCUGACCGUCCGACAUCCCUGCAGCCCCCAUGUGUCACACAGACUCAGCCUCAGGUAGAUGGUUUCCGUAGAUGGUGGCUUUCUUUGGACCCUUGACAUCAACCAGUUACUAUUUGCCAGAGACAGACUCCCAGACUCGGCCAGAGGCUGAUGCCGACUCCUUCCAGCUCUCACGGUAACCAUGAGGCCCCUGCGUGUUUCUGCUGUGGAGGUCCCAGAGGGAACUGUAUGGACAGACACAGCCUGAAGGGCCAUCUGCCUCAAGCCACAGCAGCACAGAAUUCUAAAGAUUGUGGGGAAGGAUGGCGCCUAGGGGACCAGAUGUGCAGAGGUAAUGAAUACCAGGGAAUCAGGAAACCACUGGAUCAGUUCUUUGAGCCACAGAACAACACUCAUCCCAGCAGCUGGGAAGCUAUCUGCAAAAGUCCAUCUGCAGAAAGGGCUUCCUGGUCUUGCGUGUGGCUGGGCCAUUUCUCUGGAUGCAGGUUUUUCAUUAUACAGUCUUCUCAAAGAAACACCUGCUCUCAACACC